CCUANGGGAGGCAGCAGUGGGGAAUCUUGCACAAUGGAGGCAACUCUGAUGCAGCGACGCCGCGUGAGCGAUGAAGCCCUUCGGGGUGUAAAGCUCUUUCGACGGGAACGAUAAUGACGGUACCCGGAGAAGAAGCUGCGGCUAACUACGUGCCAGCAGCCGCGGUAAUACGUAGGCAGCGAGCGUUGUUCGGAAUUAUUGGGCGUAAAGAGUGCGUAGGCGGUGUUCUAAGUCUGUCGUGAAAUCUCCCGGCUUAACUGGGAGGGUGCGGCGGAAACUGGGAUGCUAGAGGGUGGGAGAGGUAAGCGGAAUUCCUGGUGUAGCGGUGAAAUGCGUAGAUAUCAGGAGGAACACCUGUGGUGUAGACAGCUUACUGGACCACUUCUGACGCUGAGGCACGAAAGCGUGGGUAGCAAACAGGAUUAGAUACCCCUNUANUC
rnacentral:rRNA from 1 species